rnacentral:ribozyme from 1 species
AACCUCUGCCCUAGGCCAUAGCAGAAGUGCUCAUGAUGCAGCCCUGUUAGAUUCCAGCAAAUCUGUGAGUUCUGCU